rnacentral:lncRNA from 1 species
CCUCUCAUAACCUUAUUGCAGUCCAAAUAAAUAGUGAAAGAAAGAUAAAAAAAACAGGAGCAAAACACAUAGAAAGGUUAGUUUUGUGGCAUACAACACCAUUCUAGAGGUGUAAUUUCAGGAAGGGAAAUUUUAGGAUGUGACUGUCUAAGUGCUUAAGCAAAGUAAAAGGAGAAAAAGGGUAUGCAAAUUAAUGAAGAAGUUGUAGAGCAAAAAUCGGUCAGAAAGGGACUGCUGGUGAAUUCAAACCAAAGGUACUCUGAGGAGAGAGAUCAGGGGGAUUGGGACUGAAAUGCUGCAGGACAGAGAUGAGUGGUCCCUACCAGACCUUUGGGUCUCUGUUUUAGCUGACUCCAUGCUCCUUCUCCUAGAUUAAGGAAUCAUCUCAGCAGCGGGUACAUUUUCAAACAGCAUAUUAGCUUCACAUCUGAAUUACAUGAGUCACCGUGCAUUGGCAUCACAAAAGCCUUAUUCAAGUGAUUCAGGGCACGAACAUAUUUGGAACAGUCUAUGUCUUUUCAGUGUCUCUGUAUGGAUAUUGGCAAGACCAUCUUCCUGACUGAGACCCAUUAAUCAGUUUGAUAAUGGUAGGUGAUGUAAAUAUUCCUUUCCACAAAGAACUGGC